rnacentral:rRNA from 1 species
GCUAGAACUGGGCGAGUGUGCGGGGUUAGACGGAGGUGCGAAGCGUUAAUCGGGAUGAGGAGGCGUAAAGCGCACGCAGGGGGGCUGUUAAGUCAGAUGUGAGAUCCCCGGGCUCAGCCUGGGAACUGCAUUUGAAACUGGCAGGGUUGAGUCUUGUAGAGGGGGGUAGAAUUCCAGGUGUAGCGGUGAAAUGCGUAGAGAUCUGGAGGAAUACCGGUGGCGAAGGCGGCCCCCUGGACAAAGACUGACGCUCAGGUGCGAAAGCGUGGGGAGCAAACAGGAUUAGAUACCCGGGUAGCC